CGCCGACCAAUUUUUCGUACUCCAAAAAUUCGGACUUGUUAGAUAUUCCGAACUUCAUAAAUGCACCAUCAGGGAUCCCAUAGAGCUAAUGCAUGUUUUUGACCGAUUUUUAGGACGAAUUUGCCCCCGAAAGUUGGAUUUAUCGGACUAAAUCGCUCGUUUUAAGCCACGCCCCAAAUCAUUAUGAACGCCGCCAUGUUGGAUUUUCCGCCGGCGUGGCCAAGCUUGGUCUUCAAAUGGCUUUCCUGCCUCCGAGAUUGGAAAGCGCACGCCACAUUAUAAGUUUCGGAGGCCGUGUCUGCUCUUUAGAAAACGCGGCACGGGACGCCAUUUUUUUCGUCUUCGGUCAGUACUAUCGUCAUCGCACCAUACGGGGACGAGGCGGAGGAAGGAUUUUUUUAUUGUUGUUGCAGCUUGUUUCAGUCGCCAUUCUGCGCGUUUUGUGUCGCAUUGCAUCGAGACGUGUGCUUCUCAGCGGCUAUCUGCAGCAUCAAAUUUUGUGUGCUCAACGCCAUGGCUCCUCCAUCUGUGCCAUCGCGAGAGCCAGGUGGUGCGAAGAAGCAUGCGAACUAUACGACCCUGACGUUGUAGAAGAAAGCUGCCAUUAUCAAGCUAAUAGAGAGUGGACGUUCACAGCUUGAUGAUGACCACCCGCAUCCAUCGGCGGCGGAGAUCGCCAACGCGGUGACACUUUUGUCCAACGUUUACGGUGACGAUGUCACCUUGGCGCAAAUACGGGCAAACCAAAUUGCCUCCAAGCGUAGUAUGAGGCAAGGCAGCAUCAAGGAAUUUUUUAAGCCUGCCUGGUGCAAUAAAUGUAACAUUUUUAGCGAAAACGAA